CACUGAUAAACCACAAGUAAUCGUUAUUUAGAUGUACGUGACAAGUUGCGCAGGAUUGUUUGUGCAGGCGUCGCGUUGGCGCAAGUCCCUCUGGCAUCACAUAACGGCACAGGCGCCGUCGCAGCUGAUGGCGAGAGGCAAAAUAGAAGGCAAAAGUCCUGGAGAACGCAGUCCCACGAGAUGGUCGCACCAAAUUCUAUCUUCUCUGAACAUCAAGUUCGACGAUGCCCUUCGCGAAGUCAAGGCUUGCAGUAGAUGGAGGGAAGUCGUACUUCAGAAAACGAUGCAGCAGAGGAGUCACGACCCUCAGUAAAGAGGAAAGCGAUGCGAAGAGGAUCACAAUACGCUGGAGUAAUACUCAGAGAACGAUGUUGCGCAUUCUCCGCCCACAGAUGUCCCACUGCUGGACACAGGUCUCCCCAAGCCUCGCCACAAAGACCGGUCCUGCGCUGCCUGCAUCCAGCGGAUCCCCGCGAACCUCAGUAGAUCGUCGGUCCAUCUUGUGGGAGGCCUACCCACGCUACGUCUUCCGGAAGAAACGUU